CACAAAACGCACACCCAGAACUUUAGUUGCCACACAUUGACUGACUGAACCAGGAAUUACCAAAAUGUGAUACAGGCAUUAAUCCUAGGAUUCCCAUAAUCCUCUGGAAGAGGUACAUCAUAUGUGGUGACAGACACCCAUGCAGGCGAAAGACGCACACACGUAAAAAUUCAUCUUUAAAAAAGAAGUAACAGGAAAUAGUUGCAGAUAUGAGUUGUAUUUACAGAGGAGGAAAACUAGGAGCUGAACAGCUUUGCCGAAGCCACACAAAAGUCAGUGGCUGUGACAGGAUUAAUUCAGAAAAAGAUACAGAACUGAUUUUAAAAGGAAAGGCCUGGAAACAAUCAGGGAUCAGCUACGUCUCUGGGGGCAACAGAUGGAGACAUAUGUCAAAGUCAUUUUGUGAAACGCCUCCCGGGAGUUAGAAAGAAACGAGCCAGAGCCACACUGCCCGCAGCAUGGAUAAAGACAACUGUGAAAACCAAAAUGUGGUCUCUCAGCUGCUGCUCCAGCCUCCACGUCUGCCUGUUGCCCUUCUGCCGCACCACGAUGGAACAUAAGCCCAAAAUAGACCCUCCCUUCUAUAAGUUACCUUGGUCUUGGUGUUUGAUCAUAGCAAUAGAAAAGUAACUACUACACCCACUGAGCCAUCUCACUGGCCCCUCUUUGGUUCUUUGAGACAAGGUCUCACUAGGUUGGCCUGGAACUCAUCAUGUAGCUGACUGGGACUCUCAGCUCCUCAUGCUCCUGCCUCCAACUUGCCAAACACUGGGAUUACAGGUGUGUACUAUCAAAUUCAGCCCAUCUAUGAAGACCUCAGGGUGCUCUUUCUAUCUAGCAAACAAAACCAUUCCCCUGCCUCACUUCCUGAAGCUAAUAAUUAAAUUUAUUGGAGAUGUCAUCAAGCCCUGUUUCAUAGGUCAAGGACAUGACCUGAAAUUCUUUAGCAAAUCACAAAGAAUCCUUGAAUGGAUCAGGAAAUCCCACAACUACAAGCUUCCAGCUCAGUUUUUAAAAUUGUGUGUGUGUGUGUGUGUGUGUGUGUGUGUGUAGUGUGAGCUUGUG
rnacentral:lncRNA from 1 species